AUUGAACGCUGGCGGCAGGCCUAACACAUGCAAGUCGAACGAGUGGCGGACGGUUGAGUAAUGUCUGGGAAACUGCCUGAUGGAGGGGGAUAACUACUGGAAACGGUAGCUAAUACCGCAUACCAUCAGAUGUGCCCAGAUGGGAUUAGCUAGUUGGUGGGGUAACGGCUCACCAAGGCGACGAUCCCUAACUGGUCUAAGAGGAUGACCAGCAACAGUGUAACUGAGACACGGGCCAGACGCGUACGGGAGGCAGCAGUGGGGAAUAUUGCACAAUGUGCGCAAGCCUGAGGCAGACAUGCCGCGUGUAUGAAGAAGGCCUUCGGGUUGUAAAGUACUUUCAGCGGGGAGGCGUUACCCGAAGAAGAAGCACCGGCUAACUCCGUGGCAGCAGCCGCGGUAGUUC
rnacentral:rRNA from 1 species